AGUGAACGCUGGCGGUAGGCCUAACACAUGCAAGUCGAACGGCAGCACAGUAAGAGCUUGCUCUUACGGGUGGCGAGUGGCGGACGGGUGAGGAAUACAUCGGAAUCUACUUUUUCGUGGGGGAUAACGUAGGGAAACUUACGCUAAUACCGCAUACGACCUACGGGUGAAAGCAGGGGAUCUUCGGACCUUGCGCGAUUGAAUGAGCCGAUGUCGGAUUAGCUAGUUGGCGGGGUAAAGGCCCACCAAGGCGACGAUCCGUAGCUGGUCUGAGAGGAUGAUCAGCCACACUGGAACUGAGACACGGUCCAGACUCCUACGGGAGGCAGCAGUGGGGAAUAUUGGACAAUGGGCGCUAGCCUGAUCCAGCCAUACCGUGUGGGUGAAGAAGGCCUUCGGGUUGUAAAGCCCUUUUGUUGGGAAAGAAAAGCAGCAGGUUAAUACCCCGCUGUUCUGACGGUACCCAAAGAAUAAGCACCGGCUAACUUCGUG
rnacentral:rRNA from 1 species